GAUGAAGAACGUAGUGAAUUGCGAUAAGUAAUGUGAAUUGCAGAUUUUCAGUGAAUCAUCGAAUCUUUGAACGCACAUUGCGCCCGCUGGUAUUCCGGCGGGCAUGCCUGUUCGAGCGUCAUUUCAACCCUCAAGCCCCCGGGUUUGGUGUUGGGGAUCGGCUCUGCCUUCUGGCGGUGCCGCCCCCGAAAUACAUUGGCGGUCUCGCUGCAGCCUCCAUUGCGUAGUAGCUAACACCUCGCAACUGGAACGCGGCGCGGCCAUGCCGUAAAACCCCAACUUCUGAAUGUUGACCUCGGAUCAGGUAGGAAUACCCGCUGAACUUAAGCAUAUCAAUAAGCGGAGGA
rnacentral:misc_RNA from 1 species